rnacentral:pre_miRNA from 1 species
UUCUAUGGAUGAGCAAAGAAAGCAGUUUCUUGAGAUGGAAUCUACUCCUGGUGAAGAUGCAAUGGACG